CGUGCUUAACACAUGCAAGUCGAACGAAGAUACUUAAAAUGAGAGCUUCGGCUAGGAUUUUUUAUUAUCUUAGUGGCAAACGGGUGAGUAACACGUAAACACCUGCCUUCAGGAUGGGGACAACAGACGGAAACGACUGCUAAUACCGAUACGCUUGGGAGACCGCAUGAUNUUCCAGGAAAGGGUGGCCUCUACUUGUAAGCUAUCGCCUGAAGAGGGGUUUGCGUCUGAUUAGGCAGUUGGUGAGGUAACGGCCCCACCAAACCUACGAUCAGUAGCCGGUCUGAGAGGAUGAACGGCCACACUGGAACUGAGACACGGUCCAGACUCCUACGGGAGGCAGCAGUGGGGAAUCUUCCGCAAUGGGCGAAAGCCUGACGGAGCAACGCCGCGUGAGUGAUGACGGCCUUCGGGUUGUAAAGCUCUGUGAUCGGGGACGAACGGUCCGUAAGCCAAUACCUUAUGGAAGUGACGGUACCCGAAUAGCAAGCCACGGCUAACUACGUG
rnacentral:rRNA from 1 species